UACGUAGGGUGCGAGCGUUAAUCGGAAUUACUGGGCGUAAAGCGUGCGCAGGCGGUGAGCUGUGUCCGAUGUGAAAGCCCCGGGCUUGACCUGGGAAUGGCAUUGGAAACUGGCUCGCUGGAGUGUGGCAGAGGGGGGUGGAAUUCCGCGUGUAGCAGUGAAAUGCGUAGAGAUGCGGAGGAACACCGAUGGCGAAGGCAGCCCCCUGGGCUAACACUGACGCUCAGGCACGAAAGCGUGGGGAGCAAACAGG
rnacentral:rRNA from 1 species